AUAAAGGCAGAAAUAAACAACCACUGCUAGACCUAAAUAAACAAGUGUUGUUCCUGAAGAUGAAGUGGCCAAUUCACGCUGUCCGCAAAGAGACUCUCCCCUCUGGGCGCUAGCUUUGGCUUUGAUGAAUAUUCAUGAGAACAUCUCUGGUGUGAUGGCGGCGGGGGGACUGUUUACUCCAGCGAAGAAUCAAAGGGAGGGUGCUGCUGUGUCAGAUGGCAGGAAGAAUGUGGAGGUGGGUGGAUAGAAUGGAAUGGAAAUGCAUGUGUGAGCGCCUGUUUGUAUUUCAGGCUCUGGGAGACUGGGGAGGUUCGUUAAAGACACGUUGAGAGGUUGUUGCCGUGGGGACAGCUAACAUAUGGAUUAGCCUGACACCGAGAACCAGAGGUUGCAGAUACAUAUGACACGUAAACAUGUUGGGAAGAGAAUACAGGGCAUCCUUCACGGUGGACAUCGAGCAGACAGCAUUGUGACAUCUUUUGGGAAAAGUUGGAACACCAAACCGGCCAGUGUUCGAUGGGAAUCUUCUAAAUUGGAUUACAAGUCUGGCUUAAUUGCAGCUUUUUUCUUUAGAUCCCAAAAAAUAGACAGUUGGUACUUUUGAGGAUUAAAAAUGUACAAAAACUAUACGGGACAGCUCGAACUUUGGAUGUAAAAUUAAGACAAAACUAGGUUUGGGGAGCUUAGGGAAAUUGUUGUAGCUCAUGUAUAAUGAUCUGCAAUCCCAUUAGGCUAAGCCAGACACUCUAAAGCAUAAAUUUCUUUUCAUGGUCCAGUCAGUUAGUACAACACCUGCAAAUGGGAAAGAAAAGAGAAAAGCACCGAAGAUUUUUAUUUAUUUAUGUUACUUAGCAUUUCACCCAGCAAUACAGAACUGUUACAUAAACAAAAGCCAUAAUGCAGUAGUCUUGGAAACAAAUAUUACAUACAUAGAAAAGUUACCUCUCAAUCAAAACAGGGUUUCUUCAGUGGUCAGUGCCACAUUAAAUAUAUUUAUUAACAGUCAUUCUGCUGGAAGGAUGCAGGUAAAUUAAGAAUAAAGAUCUCUUAUUAUUUUAGAAUUUGUUCAAUUAUUAUUUUUUAAUCGCCUCAAAAAAAGCGUUGCUUGGUAUCUGGAGUUAUUUACACGUGGAACUGAUCAUAAAAUGUGAUAUCACAUAAAAUAAUGAGAUAAUUAGCUAGUUGCUAGAGUAAAAACUAGCAAAGAUUUUAUCAAGGUCUGAGAGCAUUGACUGAAUAAAGAACAUAGACUGAAUAAAGACUGAACAGCCCAUGUGGAUAAUCUAGUGCCACUUUUAUCUGCUGUGUAGUUUAAAUACUUAUAUUUCCUCAAAACAGCCAGUAACCACAUUAAAAAUGUAAACACCUAAGCGUGCCUAUAAGAGAUAAGAAAACAAUGCUCAAGAACUUUGAUAGAAAAACUGUUUUACUGUUUUAAAAAGACAUAGCACAGCUUCACAAAAAGUUCAUUUCAUGUGCUAAAUGAUAUAAAUUGUCUAAGCCUUUUUUUGCUCUAGGCUUGGUCUCUUUCAUGCUUUGCCCAAAACAGUUGAUAAUUAAUAACCAGCAAAUGUUAUCUAGUCAACUAUUUAAUAACAACUAAUUAUCUGCAAGGUGGCUGGGCUCUUUGCCUUAGAGAUAGGUUGAAGAGCUCAGACAUCUGGAGGGAGCUUGCAGUGGAGCCGCUGCUCCUGAGUGUUGAACGAACACAGUUAAGGUGGUUCAGGCAUCUGGUUAGGCUGCUUGCUGGGUAAACCCCUUCGGAGGUUUUCCCAGGCAUGCCCAACUGGGAAGAGACACUGGGGUAGACCCAGAGCUCAUUGGAGACAUAAUGCUCAUCUGGUCUGGGAACACCUCAGGAUCCCCCAGGAGGAAAUGCAAAGUGUUGCUGGGGAGAAGGACUUCUAGAAUUCCCUUUUUAGCCUGCAAUGACGAAAACUCAAGUUCAGAUAAGUGGAAGAUGGAUGGAUUCCCAGUUUAUGAGUUUGUGUCACAUUUCAUAGUUGUGCUUAAAUGUCUGUUUAGCACACAUUAAAGCUGGACCAGUGUGACUAGUGUGACUGUUUAAAGUUCACAAUAGCUCCAGUAAAUGGCUCCAGUUAUACUGGCAAAAGAAAAAUGUGUUGACAUGUUUUGGUAAGAUAUUAAAGUAUUCUCAUUAGUCUUUAUCAGCCACUCUGGCUCUGACUCUUCCAAUGUCAAGGGUAUGUGAGAAUCUUCCCUGAGUAGCAGGUGUGAUAAUUGAGACUAUAAGGUGAACCAGGCUAGACUGUAGGCUAGACAACGUGUGUGUGGAUGAGAAGUAAGUCACAGUCGAUAAGAAUUUUUGCUGUGGGAUAAGCUUGGAAGACUUGACGAAAUUUGUCUUGACAAAUUGCUUCCAUUGGCCUAAAACAAGUUCCCAACAUUCUUGGAGGUGACGAAAUGUCUUAUUUCCUAAGGCAAUAAGAGUUACAUUACCACAUCUACCAGGAACUGCAAGAAGGUGUCAGUGAAAUAUGUGGCUUAAGGAUUUGGCAUAAAUGUUGCAGUGCUGAGAUUCAAAUGGAUGCUAUUUUAAAGACGUGUAAUUUUAUAAUUCACAAAACUACUAUGCAAGUGUUUUUUCUUUGUGGAUACUUACAAAGUUUAGUUCAGCCUUAACCCAACUUUAUUUUAUGUCUACAUGACUGGUAGAAAGACAGUAGAAGAGUAAAGGCAGAGGAUGAAUAGAGCCAGCAAGAGUGAUGGAAGAUGGUCACUGAAGAUGAGCCAUGGGGGAGUGAUCAAUGGAGGCUGAGCAGCAAAAGACAAGAGCCAGUCAAGAUGUCAAGGCUGUACUCGGUGGUGCGGCCAACAAAGAUGAAUGAUCUUAUACGAGAGACGACUCUGAGGUCAGGCUGAUAUUGUCAUAGCACUGACUUUUUAGUUUGAUUACCAUCGACCUGCCUCACUGGAGAAUGUAUUGACUGAGAAUGUGAAUGAGCUAUCUUGGAUAUUUAUGACCGCACUUCAUUCAUGCAUUCCUGAUGCUGAAGAAAAGGCCAAAGACAAAAAUGAAAUUGCUCAAUGAAUUGCCUAAACUUUCUGAGAAUCUGUUUUUGUGUGAUGAAAUUUGUUUCUUGCAUUUCUGUCUUCAUUUGAAAACAAUUACUUGUGUAUGAAUGUAAUUCUGCAUAAAUGACCGUAUGUUGAAUUAGUAUUGGUUGUAGUAUUUUUUGUGUUAGUUAAAAAAUUUUACUGUAUAUGUUUGUCUUGCUGACCUUGUAACCCAAACAACAUGUUUCCGUACUACUAACCUGUCUUACAAAAUAAGUUUUGGGAGAAAUGCAGUUGCUGUAGUAGUUGUAGAGAGCACGUUGUAAAAGAAGUUGCACAAAGCAAAAAGUUUUGUCUCUUGAGGUCUUCGCUCUGCAACCUACAUUACACUGACUUUCUCAAAAUUCAUCCAAGGCCGCAGUCCUAGCUGUAACAAGAAACUCGAGUUGGAUAAACAUAACUAUGAGACCAUUAUUCAUGCUCAUUACCAGGAGCUCAGAGACUUCAGUGAAGUGGAGCUGAAGAACUGAUUAGUCCAUCAGCUGAAAAUGAAUAUUAAUAUGCAAUCAGUUUGAUAACUAAUCAUUAAAGUAACAGAUAAUGUUAAUGUUAAU